GUGGGGGCCGGCGGAAGCGCCCGGCGGGGUGGGCGCGUCCCGCUUGCGGUCGCGAGUUUACGGCGGCUUGAGUCCGUGGCGGCGCCGGGACCCCGGUCCCCGGGUCCGCACGUGGAAUCUUCGCCCAGAACAGGUUCCCCUUUGAUCAAGAUGAGGAGCCAUUCAGAGUAGCUGCUGCCUCUGGGAGGAUCCCUGGUGUCCUGGGCAGCCCAGUGGGUCCGGACAGGGCCCUGCUGGCUGGCCUCUGCUGGCAGGAACCAUGGCAGAGGCCGGGGAUGCAGCACUGUCCGUGGCUGAGUGGUUGCGGGCACUCCACCUGGAGCAGUACACUGGGCUCUUUGAGCAGCAUGGACUGGUGUGGGCCACCGAGUGCCAAGGCCUCAGUGACGCCCGCCUGGUGGACAUGGGCAUGCUACUCCCUGGUCACCGCCGCCGCAUCCUGGCUGGCCUGCUCCGUGCCCACACGCCCCCAAGCCCUGCACCCCGCCCUACCCCCCGGCCCGUGCCCAUGAAGCGUCAUGUCUUCCGCUCACCGCCUGUGCCUGCCGCUCCACCGGAGCCACUGCCCACGGCCAGAGAGGACGAGGGGCUACCCACCGCCCCACCCAUCCCACCCCGGAGGAGUUGCCUUCCACCUGCCUGCUUCUCCGCCCCAUCCGCAGCAGCCCCAGACCCUGUGCUGCCCCCGCUGCCUGCCAAGCGGCAUCUGGCAGAGUUCAACGUUCCGCCUGUGCCCCCCCGCACUGGGACCCCCCGCCAGCUGGUGAGCCUUCCCUCCAGGGAGGAGGAGUUACUGUCAUCACCACCAUCAUCCCCUCCCCAGCCAGCGCCUGAGGAGCCCCCGGCCACCUUCCCCCGAGUGCCUCCACAGCCCCCGUCUCCACCUCCCAGCCCCCCGGAGAUCCCCCCGAAGCCUCUUCGCCUGCCCCCAGAGUUCGAUGACUCUGACUAUGAUGAGCCUCCAGAGGAGGGGCCAGCGGCCCCAGCUGGCGUGAUGACCAAGAAGGAGGAGCUCCCAGUGAGCCAAGUCCCACGUGCCGUGCGUGUGGCCAGUCUGCUGAGCGAGGGGGAAGAACUGUCUGGGGACGACGACCAAGCAGAUGAAGAUGAGGAUGACCACGCCUAUGAGGGCGUCCCCAAUGGUGGAUGGCACAAGAGCAGCCUGAACUCAUCCCUGCCCAGCAGCCUCCUGAUCCCCGAGCUCCCACCACACCCCAUGGACGGGCUCCCCGGGGGCUCCACCCCCAUCACACAGGUCAUCAAGGCUGGCUGGCUGGACAAGAACCCACCGCAGGGAUCUUAUAUCUAUCAGAAGCGAUGGGUGAGACUGGAUGCCGAUCAUCUGAGAUACUUUGACAGUAACAAGGACGCCUACUCUAAGCGCUUUAUCUCUGUGGCCUGCAUCUCCCGCGUGGCUGCCAUCGGGGACCAGAAGUUUGAAGUGAUCACGAACAACCGGACCUUUGCCUUCCGGGCAGAGAGUGAUGUGGAGCGGAAGGAGUGGAUGCAGGCCCUUCAGCAGGCGGUGGCUGCUCAGUAUGCCCGGGCCCAGCUGUCUAGCGCUUAUCCGUUGGGUAUUCGAGGCUCAGAGCCACCUGACCGUGCUGGCAGCCUGGAACUACGUGGUUUCAAGAAUAAACUGUAUGUGGCCGUGGUUGGGGACAAAGUGCAGCUGUACAAGAAUCUGGAGGAGUACCACCUGGGCAUUGGCAUCACCUUCAUUGACAUGAGCGUAGGCAACGUGAAGGAAGCAGACCGGCGCAGCUUCGACCUCACCACCCCCUACCGCAUCUUCAGCUUCUCAGCCGAAUCGGAACUAGAGAAGGAGCAGUGGCUGGAGGCCAUGCAGGGAGCCAUUGCCGAGGCCCUGUCUACCUUGGAGGUGGCCGAGCGCAUCUGGGCUGUGGCCCCCAACAGGUUCUGUGCCGACUGCGGGGCUGCCCAGCCUGACUGGGCCUCCAUCAACCUCUGUGUCGUCAUCUGCAAGCGCUGUGCAGGGGAGCACCGUGGCCUAGGCGCUGGGGUCUCCAAGGUGCGGAGCCUGAAGAUGGACAGGAAGGUGUGGACGGAAACACUCAUUGAGCUCUUCUUACAGCUGGGCAAUGGCCCUGGGAACCGCUUCUGGGCAGCCAAUGUACCCCCCAGUGAGGCUCUGCAGCCCAGCAGCAGCCCCAGUGCCCGGCGGCGCCACCUGGAGGCCAAAUACCGUGAGGGCAAGUACCGCCGCUAUCACCCGCUCUUUGGCAACCAGGAGGAACUGGACAAGGCUCUGUGUGCUGCAGUCACUACCACAGACCUGGCUGAGACCCAAGCUCUCCUGGGCUGUGGGGCUGGAGUCAACUGCUUCUCAGGGGACCCUGAGGCCCCCACGCCCCUGGCUCUUGCCGAGCAGGCAGGGCAGGCGCUGCAGAUGGAAUUCCUACGGAACAACCGGACCACGGAGGUGCCUCGGCUGGAUUCAGCGAAGCCUCUGGAAAAGCACUACUCAGUUGUCUUGCCGACUGUGAGCCACAAUGGCUUCCUCUACAAGACUGCUUCUGCCGCCAAGCUGCUGCAGGACCGCCGUGCCCGGGAAGAGUUCAGCCGACGCUGGUGUGUCCUUAGCGACGGGGUCCUGAGCUACUAUGAGAGUGAGCGGGCAGUGACCCCCAAUGGUGAGAUUCGGGCCAGUGAGAUUGUGUGCCUGGCAGUGCCCCCUCCUGACACCCAUGGCUUUGAGCACACCUUUGAGGUGUACACGGAGGGAGAGCGGCUGUACCUGUUUGGUCUGGAGAGUGCAGAGCUGGCUCGUGAGUGGGUCAAGUGCAUUGCUAAGGCGUUCAUACCUCCCCUGGCUGAAGAUCUGCUGGUCCGGGAUUUUGAGCGGCUUGGGCGCCUACCCUACAAAGCUGGCCUGAGCCUACAGCGGGCCCAGGAGGGCUGGUUCUCCCUCACUGGCUCCGAGCUCCGUGCUGUCUUCCCAGAGGGGCCCUGCGAGGAGCCGCUCCAACUUCGGAAACUGCAGGAGCUUUCCGUCCAAGGGGACAGCGAGAACCAAGUGCUGGUGCUGGUGGAGCGAAGGAGGACGCUGUACAUCCAGGGGGAGCGGCGGCUGGACUUCACAGGCUGGCUGGGGGCCAUCCAGAAAGCAGCGGCCAGCUCCGGGGACACGCUGUCGGAGCAGCAGCUUGGAGACUCAGAUAUCCCAGUGAUCGUCUACCGCUGUAUAGACUACAUCACGCAGUGUGGCCUGACUUCUGAGGGCAUCUACCGCAAGUGUGGGCAGACAUCAAAGACUCAGCGGCUGCUGGAGAGUCUGCGGCAGGACGCUCGGUCUGUGCGCCUCAAGGAGGGCGAGCAGCAUGUAGACGAUGUCUCCUCAGCACUCAAGCGCUUCCUGCGAGACCUGCCCGAUGGUCUCUUCACUCGCGCCCAGCGCCUAGCCUGGCUAGAGGCCUCAGAGAUUGAGGAUGAGGAGGAGAAAGUCUCCAGAUACAGAGAGCUCUUGGCACAUCUGCCCCCAGUCAACCGAGCCACAGUGAAGGCCCUUAUCAGCCACCUGUACUGCGUCCAGUGCUUCUCAGACACAAACCAGAUGAACACGCACAACCUGGCUAUUGUGUUUGGACCCACGCUCUUCCAGACAGAUGGGCAGGACUACAAGGCAGGCCGUGUGGUAGAAGACCUCAUCGGCCACUAUGUGGUGGUGUUUAGCGUGGAUGAGGAAGAGCUGAGGAAGCAGCGGGAAGAGAUCACUGCCAUUGUGAAGAUGCGUGUGGCUGGCACUGCCAGCGGGACCCAGCAUGCCGGUGACUUCAUCUGCACAGUGUACCUGGAGGAGAAGAAGGCGGAAACCGAGCAGCAUAUCAAGAUCCCAGCAGCCAUGACAGCCGAGGAGCUCACCCUAGAGAUCCUGGAUCGCAGGAAUGUGGGCAUCAGGGAGAGGGACUACUGGACCUGCUUUGAGGUCAAUGAGAGGGAGGAGGCAGAGCGCCCCCUGCACUUUGCGGAGAAGGUGCUGCCCAUCCUGCACGGGCUGGGCACGGACAGCUACCUGGUGGUGAAGAAGCACCAGUCCAUGGAGGCCAUGCUGCUGUACCUGGCCAGCCACGUAGGCGACACCAAGCACGGCAUGAUGAAGUUCCGUGAGGACCGUAGCCUCCUGGGCCUGGGCCUGCCCUCAGGUGGCUUUCACGACCGAUACUUCAUCCUCAACAGCAGCUGCCUGCGGCUCUACAAGGAGGUCCGGAGUCACCGGCCUGAGAAGGAGUGGCCCGUCAGGAGUCUCAAAGUCUACCUGGGAGUGAAGAAGAAACUCCGGCCACCCACCUGCUGGGGCUUCACAGUGGUGCACGAGACAGAGAAACAUGAGAAGCAGCAGUGGUACCUCUGCUGUGAGACACAGAUGGAGCUCCGGGAGUGGUUUGCCACCUUCCUCUUUGUGCAGCAUGACGGCCUGGUGUGGCCCUCGGAGCCCUCCCGUGUAUCCCGGGCAGUGCCUGAGGUCCGGCUGGGCAGUGUUUCGUUGAUCCCUCUGCGCGGCAGUGAGAACGAAAUGCGAAGGAGUGUGGCCGCCUUUGCUGCGGACCCCCUUUCUCUCCUCCGCAACGUCUGAGCGCAGAAGCCAGCCCCUGGCUCUGAGACUCUGCCGCCCUGAAGCCUUCCUGUUCAGACACCCUCGUGCCCUGCGUGCCUGGUGUGAACCAGCAGGGGAUGCAUGAGGAAGCCGCACCCCACAUCCCACAUCCUGGUUGCAGCAUGGGGUUCCCUCGCCAGGAAGUGGGGGGCAGCAGGGUCUGCCUGAGGAGGACCCCUCAUCUGUUGUCUGGGUGCUUCUCCUGGCCUGGCCUGCUCCCCCCUCCAGGGUCACCCACCCUGAGUUUGAGGGGUUGGAGAGGUGGGAUGUGCAUUGUUCAGAAACUCUGGAGGACCACCAUCCUUGCAGAGGCUCGAAGCCCUGGGGCCCCCGCUGGAAGGGAGCCCACCCUCUUGUCACAAACUCCAGAACAGCAAAAAGUGGAUGCUCUAAAGGAACACUCAGCUGGGAUAGGGAGGGAGCUCUUGGGUAAGUUUCUCUAUAGCCUAGAACUGGGGCUGGGGGACUUUAGGAGCCUCCUCUGGUCUAGGCUGACUGGGAGGGCCCAGGCUGCCUGGUGCCCCUUCCCCACUUUGGGGGCCUUUUGAUAAUAUAAAUAUAUCUGUAUAUUUUAUCCUACGGUGCUGAAGCUUGUGAUUGGUUGGGGGUUUCAGGUGUUCCAGUGUAGGAGGGGACAGGAGUUCAGGAGGCCCAGAGGUGAAGAAACCAAGGCAUGGACUUGACAAUGUCAGGUGACUAAUAAGUGGUGUGGCUGAGAAGAAACACAGGUCCUUCCCAGAUGGUGCUGGUGAGCCCCAGCUUCAUGCCUGGUGCCCUCCCCAGCAGGCACUCUUUUUCAAAAUCACUGACAAACUGUGUUUUCAGUUCUGUCUUUCCUUCUGGAGAGAGUCCAUGGGGAGGAUCUCAGGCUUAGUGUAAGUUUGGCCUUAGGGUUUCUAGAAGCCAGGGGGUUAUUUUUCUAAGAAGGUGGAGAGGGACCAGAGCCUUCCUAGUGUGGUUAGCCCUAGGGAAGACCUGCCUCAUAGUCCAGCAACGCAUGUUCACAAAUCCCAGGUCCUUGUAGAGUCCUGUCCAAGUCCAGGCUGGAGCUGUGUGAUGGAGGGAGGAGACCCUGCCUCCCGGGCCCAGCCUCAGCUUGUCUACCAACCUGGAUGGAGUCACAGUGCAGUUGCCUCCCUCCUGGCUUAUGUAAUCAUUCAAAUAUAGCAGCUACCUUUAUCCCACUGAGUCACACCCCCUCCCGCCCCCAGUCAGGUGCGGGGAGUUAAGGGGGAAGAGGUAGAUUAGGGCUGAGUGGGCAGCUCAGGGCCUCAUGGCAAGGAGCAUCCAGGUGUGCUGCACUGGAGGGUAGUGGAGGUGAGGGAGCUGGGGCCAGGACCCCAGGGAGAGUAAAACCUUCCCCAGAGUAUGAAGCCACAGGGCCCACUUCUGUUCUGACCUAUCUCUGCUGAAGCUCCCCAUCCAUGGGGAUGCUUCCACAGGGUCAUGAGUUGUAUCAACAGCCUUCUUUCCUAGCCUUGUCCCCAGGUGGAAGAGGUGAGGAGGAAGGAGAGGCAGAAGAUUACAAAGAAAAUGAGGCAGUGGAGGGGGGCGGUGGCCAGGAGUCCCUGGUCCUAGUUCUAGCCCUGCCCUUUACUCCCUGUGUGGCCUAGGCAUGUUUCUGCCUUCUUUUCCCCCUCUGCACCAUGAGGGAUGGGAUUCCACUGGCUCUGGCAUCUUGUGCUGCCUGGUCCAUAUUUCUGGGGAUGACUUCAACCUUAGGCAGAAGACACUUCCAAGUGUCUGGUCUAGCCCCAUCCCAGGCUGACUUCCCUCUCUUCCUGUUCUCUGCCCACCCCAAAUCUGUCCAUCCUCCAUGGGCCAGUUCAGCACCCCAUGCUCCCCCACCCCAUCCACAGGGCAGUGUAGACAGGAAGGAUCACUGGGUUCUGGCCUGAGGGGAUAAGCCUUGGCUGUCUCUUCCCUUCCUGCACUGGCCGUCUGUUCCACCACUUCAUCCCCCUGCCCAACAGGAAUGGGGAGCUUCCUACCUCUGUGUGAGGUCACCCCUUCUUUCAUAGGGCAGUUCUGACAGAUCCUGGACCUGAAGUAGGCCCACAACACCUCAACCCUCAGGCCUGGGUCCCCAAAACCACCUUCCUGAGGUGAAGAAGCCAUACCACCUUACAGCUGUUCUGGAGCCUGGGGUGGCUUUUUGCUCCUUUGUCAGCAAGGGCCUUGUCACCCAUGGUGUGAUCGGGUCUGUGCUUAGUGUGGGAACACAGGGAACUAUGCCAGGCCCUUGGAAUGGACUUGGUGCUCCUUCGGUCAUUAUGCUUGGAGUCACAGGUGGCAGCUUCCUGGCUGAGGAAGAGGCAGAGAAGCACAGUGAGAUGGCUCCCUGAGCUUCCCGCUCUCCCCACCCCCAGGCGUCUGUUGCCAAGAGCCAGAUGUGGGCCCAUCCUGGUCCCCAGCCAGAGGGAGUCACCCAGGGGUUUUCAGGCCAAUGCUCCAUGAAAUCCAUGUUCCACCAAUUACCAGCCUUCCCCUGAGAAGGCUGAGGGAUACUCUAUGGUCUCAGUCUGCCCUUGGACAGGGAUGGGGGGUGGUUUGCACAGAGCGGGUCAGUGAGGACCCCUCAUCUACCUGUGUCCCCCCAUCCACCUGCAGCCUUUUAUUGAAGGCUUGCUCUGAUGUGAUUUUGCACUGAGCUCCAGAGCGCACCAUUUCGUUUCCACACUCACCUGUGUCUCCCUCCUUCCUACUUUACUUCAUCAACAUUUCUCACUUGUCCCUGGUUAGGCUGCCCAAAGGCUGGGGACUGGGGCUGAGGUGAAUAGGAUUUUGGCCUGUUCUUGAGGAAAGGGUGAUCCAGUAGAAGAAAUUAGGUGAACCUGAGUGGGAGUGGGGGGGUAGGGGGGGUGUGAGGUGAUAGGGCAGAUGACAGGGAAGAGCGAGGCAGCCAGAGGCUGCUCAGCCCAGAACCCAGUGACCCCUCCUGCCCACCCUGUCCCCUGGGGGUAAGGGCAGGGUGUGGGCUGAACUGGUCCAGGAGGGAUAGGCCAGGAUUUGGAAUGGGCAGAGAAAAGAAAGAGGAGAGGGAAGCGAGCCUGGGAAACAGGUGGUACCAAGUCAAAGGGGAAGAAAGGACUGGCUUAAGGACUGGACCCUGCUGUAUGUGGAGCAGAGGAUGGAGACCUCAGGGCCUAUCAUGAGAGAUUUCAGGUAUCAGGCUGAGGAGCUUGGCCUUUAUCCUGAAGCCACUGGGGAGCCAUGCAAGGAUUCUGAGGAGUUACCUGACCAGAUAGAUAGUGCUCAGUGCAGGGUGGAGUGGAAUAGGGGAGUUGAAUUGGGGUAGGGGGCUGGAGAAAGACCAGAGGAGGAGGAAGUAAGCAGGGCCAGGGGGGUGAUGGAGGGAGUGAAUACAUGGGAGAGAAUUACAGAGGGAGAAUUGGCGGUGAUAGAUUUGAUACAGGAGGUGCAGGAGAAGGAAGAGGCAAAGCGACUUUGUAGUUUCUAGACUGGGGAUUUGAAGUUUGCUGAUGCCUUUGAUAGAGACAAAAGAUACGUUGGAUGUGAAUAUUCAGGUGUAUGGGGGCCUCUGGGAUGUUCCCACAGAUGUCCAGGAGGCAACCUGUAUUGGUUGUCUGGAGCCCCAGAAACAGGGCUGGGCCUGGGUGGGGGUGGGGGUGGGGAGGCACUAGAAGUUGGUGCGUUUGGGGAAGGCUCCAAGCUCCCUGAAGGUGGGGUGGAGAAAGAGGAGAGAGACAGGGCGCGGUGCCCCUGUGAAGAGCACCCAUGUUGAGGGGGCAAAAAUAGGAUGAGCCAGCGAGAGAGACAGAGGAGGGGCCGUCUGGAAGGUGGGAGGGAAACAGCCGAGCAGGAAGGCGGCGGGAGAGGGCGCUGAGAAGAAGCCGCCUUCUUUGGCAACGAGGAGGUAGCUGGAGCCUGCAGUCCUCGCGAGGCAGUGGGCGCAGGGCGGAGGCUGGAUCUCAGAGGCUGCAUCUUCCCGUCGCUUCGGGCGCCCACCCGCCUCCCAGCUUCCUCUCACCUCCUGCCAGAUCCCCAACUAGCAAAAACCGGUGUCUGCUGACCGGCUGCAGGGCGGCGGGCCAGGGCCCGUGAACGCGGCACGCCCCGAUCAGCACCCGGGAGAGCGGCCGGGGCCUGCGGCGGGGCGGGGCUUCGCGGUGAUCGCUCCGGGCCCUCGGUUCCUGCCGCCGGCCUAGCAGGCCAGAUGGAGGUGGAGGUGGGAAGAGCAGGCCAGGACACCGGCCCCUCUCCCCUUUCAGAAGCACCCCCCCCAACCCCACCAUUCCGGCAGUGCCCUACAGGAGCCCCUACCCCAGCAUUUCAGGCUGUUACUCCCUCAGCCCCACCAAUUCAACCUCUUUAGGAAAAGGGAAGGGAGGAGAGGACGACGGCUUUUUACUGGGAACUUUACAGACAUUUCCAAAGCCUUACAACUCUUUGAGCUUGGAAUUUGUGACCUCUCCUUUCAGAUGAGAAAGCUGAACUGAAGUUCAGAGAAGUUAAAUAACUUGCCCAGGGUGCAUGGAUGGCAGAGCUGGGAUUUGACCCUCUACCUGCCUGGCUGUAAGUCCUAGAGUACCAGAGUACCCAGUAGUCCUGGAUCUUGCACCUCAUUCCUGCAGACUCCUUUGUUCUGGAGCAACUGUGGAGUCUGGUGUGGUAGUGGGAUGGGAGGAGACCUUCCCUCCUACCUGUCUUGCUUGGGUAUAUUCCCAGGAGGUUUCUGAAGAUGAGGCCUCCACCAUCAUUUCCAGAGUGAGAGGGCAGAAAGGAGGCUGAGGGGCAGGUGAGGCUUCAACGCACCAGCUUCUCCUGUGCCCGGCAGGUGCCCUCCUUUGAGCUCCUCUGACUCAGCUUCUUACUGCCAGGCUCCUUGGGGCGUGAAGGGGAGUUGUGAGAGGCCAAGCCUGGACAUGAUCCAGGGCCUUGGCUUUCUGGGCCCGAGAAAUGCCUUCCUAGCCAGCAGGCAUGGAGCAGUAAGGUCCCAGGUAUGGGUCAGGCUGAGAAAACAGUUUGCCCAGAGCUUUCAGAGAUCUGAAACUAGACCUUCUGGGGCCACAGUGGGAAGCAAAAGCUCCCUCAUAGUUUCUUUCCUGACAGUAAGCCAUGAGAAAACUGCUUUCUGUCAGCCUGGACAGGCCUCCUGCACAAGCUGCAUCAUUCCUGUCCAUCCCACCACUGCUGCACCUCCGUGCCUGUUAACAGGGAUUAGGUUUUCACUCAGUCUCAUGGGCGCUUCUGCAUGGAUCCUGUUGUGUGUGGCAGGGGUCCUUGUCCCCACAGGUCAGAGAAGUGAGGUUAUUGGUGAGGAUUACACAUGGCCCCCAUAGCCUGGAAUAUACCUGCUUUUCCUGGGGUCUCCUCCUUUUAAAGACUCAGCUGAUAUUCUCUUCUACAGGAAUGCUUACCAACCCCAGACUGGGUCAGAGGCCCUGUUUGGGCACUACAUACUCUGUGCUUCCCUCUGUCACACUACAAGUCAUUUCAUCUACUGCCUCCCCCUCCACCACACACACACCUUGACUGGGUGCUUCUCCAAGGCAAGGAGCCGUCUGAGUCAUAUUUAAUGAAGGUGGCCAAUGACAGGUGUUUGUGAACAAAUGAAUAAGUUAGUGGAGGAGCCAGCAUUUGAACCCCCAUUUCCCGCCUCAAGGUGUGGAGCAUUUUCUUUUAUGUCCAACAGGCCCUCUGCUGAGACAACUCCCUACCUGUCCAUUGCCUAAAAUGCCCCAAUUCCAUUGGGUUAAGGCUUCCUCCUGAGGAGUCCUCUCUGGCAACAGGGCAGAGGUACAGCAGGCCUCUUCCCAUGCCUAUAACCUGUGGACACUGAAAACCACGUGGGCAAGUUGUGCCCACAACUCCUAGUACAAGUGCAUGUUUCUGGGCGCCUGGAUGGCUCAUUCAGUAGAGCAUGUGACUCAUCAGGGUUGUGAGUUUGAGUCCCAUGUUGGGUGUAGAGAUUAAAAAUAAAAUCUUGGAGGCGCCUGGGUGGCUCAGUUGGUUGAGCGUCCAACUCUUGAUUUCGGCUCAGAUCACGAUCUCACGGUUCGUGAGUUCGAGCCCCACAUCGGGCUCUGUGCUGACAGUGUGAAGCCUGCUUGGGAUUCUGUCUCUCUCCCUCUCUCUCUGACCCUCCCCCACCCUCAAAAUAAAGAAAUCAACUUAAAAAAAUA